rnacentral:rRNA from 1 species
UGGGGAAUUUUGGACAAUGGGCGCAAGCCUGAUCCAGCAAUGCCGCGUGCAGGAUGAAGGCCUUCGGGUUGUAAACUGCUUUUGUGCGGAACGAAACGGUCUUUUCUAAUACAGAAGGCUAAUGACGGUACCGUAAGAAUAAGCACCGGCUAACUACGUGCCAGCAGCCGCGGUAAUACGGAGGGGGCUAGCGUUGUUCGGAAUUACUGGGCGUAAAGCGUGCGCAGGCGGUUAUGCAAGACAGAUGUGAAAUCCCCGGGCUCAACCUGGGAACUGCAUUUGUGACUGCAUAGCUGGAGUGCGGCAGAGGGGGAUGGAAUUCCGCGUGUAGCAGUGAAAUGCGUAGAUAUGCGGAGGAACACCGAUGGCGAAGGCAAUCCCCUGGGCCUGCACUGACGCUCAUGCACGAAAGCGUGGGGAGCAAACA